rnacentral:tRNA from 2 species
CCUAUAGCUCAACUGGAUAGAGUGUCUGACUACGAAUCAGAAGGUUGGGGGUUCGAGUCCCUCUGGGCG